GCGAACUCUGCGCUCUUCACCAUGCACCACCCCAGUCGGUGGGAUACAGCUCGCACUCCCGCCUUCUUUUGGGGGCUAAGGGAAGGGAUUGCAUCUGUGGAUCAGGAGGAAUUAGGGUGAUUUAGAUGUAGAAACACAUGCUAAGAUGAUUGCUGAAACCCUAAUUUUCUGUAAGUGAAGAGGAGAAUGGAAUUGACUGUGAUCAGAGAUUUGGGAGGAGCGUUGAGGCUCCCCAAUGGGAUCGAUUGAGUUAACGUAGGGGAAAAAAACCCAGACAAACGUGUUGCAGAUUUCAGAGAUUCAUUAGCUCAAAGCUGGUUGCACAGAAUUUAUUGACUCUGCUGAACAAAUAUUGAGGAAGAGGAAGCUGAAUUGAACAUUACUUGCAAGUGUAGUACUUGACUUGACUUGCUUGAGAUUCCUCAAUUAAUGGACACAUGUGUAUGAAAUGGUAAUUAUGAUGAAGCCUUUGACUUGGAGGCGUUUGUAGCCAAGCUUUCAACAAUGCAUCCAAAGUUGCCUGUCAUUCAAUCAUUAGCAGAGGAAGUUAGUCAAACUACCCAAUCAAUGCUUUCUCAACUUCUCCAGAGACUUCAUUCAAAUAUCCAGGUACUUUUGCAAAAUUGACUGAUGAGCAGAGAGCUGAAUGCCUCACGACUACUUACCUGUAGAAGAAGAAAAGAAGAAAUAGUCCCUGUUGCCUGAAUGCCUUCGUAUCAUCGGAUAUCUAUGCCGCAUAGGGCUAUUCACUGAGUCUGAAAUGCGUCUGCAGGUAAUACUUAGUAUUUAGCUCUUAAUUGAUUUCCACUUUUGAAAUUGGGAAGGGAAUGGUCUUCAUAAAAAGCAUUUUUGUAUCUUGGAAUAUCAUAUUAUUAACCUUCUUUAUAGAUUGACUUUGUUGUCUGUUUGUGUUAUUGCUGGAAUUAUAGAUGACUUGGACCAGAGAAAUGUUUAUGAAUACCUAAAACGAAUGGUGAACUGCCACGGGAUGCAUCUUUUUGAUGUUGUUGAUCAAUACCGAGCCAUAUUUGAAGAUGACACAUCUGGUAGUGAAGAGAAUUAUGAUGGUGGACUUCUCUUUAGCUGGGCUAUUCAUCAAAUAGAAUCACAUCUGAAUACUCUCAAUUCGAUAUUGCCUAAGAUUUCCGAAGUUGGAUCCUUAUCAAAUGUCCUUCACUUGUGCAUGAUGAGAGGCUUUUUUUCUAAAACUGUCCACAUGAUGAGCUUUUUUCUGCAACUGUCUACCUGGUUUUUCUUUUAUUUUGUAUAUAAAUGAUCAAUAUACACCUUUCAAAUUGCUAGCUUUUCAUUUUGGAUUUCCUUAAAUUUGUCUUUGUUAUUGGCUUCUAACAGUUGUGGAAGAGAUCUUACUUAUACAUCCAAACACACUUAUUUGAAUGCAUUUAAGAUUCUUUCUGUGCUAGUGUAUAACAAUUUGUUUAUGGCUAUAUAUUUCUGUCGUUAAUUUGUUCCUUGGAGGUUAAAUCAAUAGAUCCCUGAUGCUGGCUAGAGUAAUCACAUACACCCACUGCAUGUGUUAUCUGUUCCGCAAUAUCUUUUUUUUCUCUUGAUUAUAUACUUAUGCAGUUAUUUCUUACCUUGCUAUGCCCAUGGGAUGUUCUCAAACUUCAUAAGCAGAUUCAUCUCCAGGGAUGGCGAGUAAUGCAGUUUUGCCGUUAUUUCUUGGUCAUUUGUUUAACGAGAUUCCUUAGCCAUUGCCAUGCAGAAUUCUCUACACUCAGUUGCGGCCCUGGGUACUUUGCUUCUGCAUCUUGACAAUUGUUUCUUUUGUCUCAUAAUACAAUUCCUGGCCAUAGGUUCCCACUUAUGAAUAGCAGUGAUCUCUUUGAACAAACCAUGGUGCUGAAAAUUUCUAUUUAUUUAUUUAUUUGCUUCAUCUUUAUGGUAACAAAUAGUGGAUACACUUAUACUGAAAUUGCAUAAACAAUCUAGCAAGUUUUACUAAAAAAUGUUUUUUCAUUUAUCAACAGUAGUGUAUGCAGAAAUCAUCUAUAGGGAUGGCGCAAGUCAUCUUCAAAAGCCUGGUUCUUUUAUCAUUAUUCUUAGUAUCACUGCCAAGGACAAAGCCCACCUCCAAAAGGUCCAUUUUUAAGGAUGAGGGAACCAAUUAUUUCAGUGAGGUAUGCAUGGCCGAAAUAUUCUAGGCCAAGAAGAAUCCUCUGCACCUCAUACUAAGAAGUUGCUCCCUUCUCACAAGUCCCUGAUGAUGAGUUCAUCCUCUUUGCUUUCACUCUCAUGAAAUAAAAUAAUGCUACAAAUCCCUGAUAGUGGGUUCUUCCUCUUCCCUCUCCACUAAAUUGUGACAUGGUGAGCCGUGGAGUGCUAUCAAUUGAUUCAUGAUCCAUCCACUGAUCCAUGCUUCUUAUCUGAACUUGUAGGGUGUUGGCACUGAUAAAUUAGGUUGGGUGGCGUUGUCCAUUGUGGAAAUACUUUUAUCUGUUAGACUCUUAGUUGCCAGUUCAGUGACGUUGAUAUAAUGUUAUCAUUUAUGCAGCUUGUCUUGGAUUCACACUGUUGGAUUCCACUGCUACCUGUGGGUAUUACAAUCCGAGUUGGUAAUGAUGAUAGUCAUGAUGAUUUGACGCCACCGUCUUCUUCAAUGGAACAUCCACCUAUUGCCGUCUUUUUUGAUGACUCAAUGUGUGAGAAGUUGAUGACCUUUUCAUGUGGGCUAACCCCCAAAAUGAGCCAAGACGAGCCCAAUUAGCUAAGGAUUUCAUAGGCUUCGAUUUUCAUAAUACCUGCAUUUCCCAUUAAGAUUUGAAACAAUGAGAGGAAAAGUACAAAUGGUACACUGGACAAAUUUUAUUUAUUUAUUUUUAAUAUACAUACAGGACACACUGAUAUGUAACUUCCUGGGUGUGCUUGACGAUAGGGCAACCUGGUCCACCAUUCAAUCUUAGAAAGGGAACUAUGACCCAGAGUGUCGCCAUCUGAGUUGCUACCCCACUAGUUGAGCCCAAAUAACCUCUUUAAGUGAUCAAUCAGACGACAAUAUUUUCAUGGACUCUAUUAAAGCAACGAUCUAUUGGCAUCUGGAAGGCACCAGAGAGCGUAAAGCUCUAAAAGUUGUGUAGCUGAUGACACUCAUUGCAUUCCACCAAAGCAAAUCAAUCAUAUAACAAAUGCCAGUAUGGAGAUUCCAUGAAGGGAACUAAGAUGUUGGCAUGUUGCAUAACACUUUGUCUGACGAGGCCUUGGUUUCCAACCUCAUAAUCAGUCACAGAUUCUGUUAAAGCGACCUGUGGGCAUCUGGAAGACACCAGAUGUGAUGAGUAGGGGACAUCCCUGGAAUAUGGGACCCAAACCCUAAUAUGGGGUUUCUAACUGGGGUGGCACUGUAGCUUUUCCCCCUAGGAUGGACCAAAUUCUUCUGUGUACGCUUGUGCUCGUGGGUGUGUUUUUUGGGGUGGGGUGGGGUCGUAUGGCAUGGUCUCACAGAAACAAGUAGUACAGUUGCUUCCUCGCUUUCACCGGCAAAAUGCUUACUCAGGUGUGUCAGCAGCCUUGAACGAGCUACGACCAUGUGCACCUUCACCUUUAAGUUUAAAACAUGCUCUCGCUCAAGAACUCAUGAGAGCUCUACAGGCUGUCUCAGAUUCCCUUAUGAGGUAUAAUGCUACUCGAAUUUAGAGACAAUGAAUCCACACUGGUUCAUGCACUCUGCCGCACUUUCAUUGAGGUUGUGUGCCCAUACUGUGUCAUGUGCUUCGGUCGAUGUUAUCCUGGUGAAGCUGCAAUUAUAGAUUUGAAGGUUUCAUUUGCUGGACUUUGCCAUGUCCUUGCCUCUGCUCCUUCCCCUGUAGUGAGGGGACUCCCUUCUAGGUCAGUUGAUGUGCCUUGUGUAAGCACCGACAACAGAAAACAGGGACGCAUCUCCCCGAGUGAACGAAAUUUCAGAAGAACCUGACGUUAGUUCUUCAAAUCAAAAUCCAGGGGAGUCAGGACAGUCUGCCUCACCAGAAGCACUGAGCAGGUUGCAACAAGACUCGUAACUUUCAUUCUUUGAAACACUUACCUGAUGAAAUUAUUUGGGUGUAGCCUCUAAGAAUUCAUUUGAUAUGACAAGAUUUGAUUGGUUCAUCUAGUGUAACACACUCAAAAGGUAACCAUUGUUUCAUUUUGUAGAAGAAAUGUAUGUCUAUAUUGUAAGACACCUAUUUUCUACAACUGUCAAGAACUUGGUGUCGAAUUUA